rnacentral:rRNA from 1 species
AUUGAACGCUGGCGGCAGGCUUAAUACAUGCAAGUCGAACGAGUGGCGGAAGGGUGAGUAAUGCUUGGGAAUCUAGCUUAUGGAGGGGGAUAACUACGGGAAAAUGUCGCUAAUACCGCGUACCAUAGGAUGAGACCUAGGGGGAUUAGGUAGUUGGUGAGGUAAAGGAUCACCAAGACGACGAUCUCUAGCUGGUCUGAGAGGAGGACAAGACACACUGGGACUGAGACACGGCCCAGACUCCGACGUGAGGCAGAAGUGGGGAAUAUUGCGCAAUGGGGGCAACCUGACGCAGCCAUGCCGCGUGAAUGAAGAAGGCCUUCGGGUUGUAAAGCACUGUCAGCGAGGAGGCGUUACUCGCAUAAGAAGCACCGGCUAACUCCGUGCCAGCAGCCGCGGUAAUUC